AGAGGAAAGUUACUUUACCUUGUUCAAAGGUGGGGAAGACAUGUGAGGAAAUGAAAGGAAAGAAUUUAAAAAUUUUCCUUUGUCGCAUUAAAUAUAAUCGCUCUAUAUAGGAUAAAAUCCUUUAUAUAUCCUUUGCAAACAAUUUAUUCUCCAAAAAUGAAGGUGUUUUUCUUUUUUAAAAAAGCAGAAGUAAUCUCCUAAGUUUUCUCACCAUUUUCUCCUCGCCUUUUCCUUCUAUCCAAACAGAAGAUGAGGGGAG
rnacentral:misc_RNA from 1 species